rnacentral:rRNA from 1 species
UAUAAGACUGGGAUAACUUCGGGAAACCGGAGCUAAUGCCGGAUAACAUAUAGAACCGCAUGGUUCUAUAGUGAAAGAUGGUUUUGCUAUCACUUAUAGAUGGACCCGCGCCGUAUUAGCUAGUUGGUAAGGUAAUGGCUUACCAAGGCGACGAUACGUAGCCGACCUGAGAGGGUGAUCGGCCACACUGGAACUGAGACACGGUCCAGACUCCUACGGGAGGCAGCAGUAGGGAAUCUUCCGCAAUGGGCGAAAGCCUGACGGAGCAACGCCGCGUGAGUGAUGAAGGUCCUCGGAUCGUAAAACUCUGUUAUUAGGGAAGAACAAAUGUGUAAGUAACUGUGCACGUCUUGACGGUACCUAAUCAGAAAGCCACGGCUAACUACGUGCCAGCAGCCGCGGUAAUACGUAGGUGGCAAGCGUUAUCCGGAAUUAUUGGGCGUAAAGCGCGCGUAGGCGGUUUCUUAAGUCUGAUGUGAAAGCCCACGGCUCAACCGUGGAGGGUCAUUGGAAACUGGGAAACUUGAGUGCAGAAGAGGAAAGUGGAAUUCCAUGUGUAGCGGUGAAAUGCGCAGAGAUAUGGAGGAACACCAGUGGCGAAGGCGACUUUCUGGUCUGUAACUGACGCUGAUGUGCGAAAGCGUGGGGAUCAAACAGGAUUAGAUACCCUGGUAGUCCACGCCGUAAGCGAUGAGUGCUAAGUGUUAGGGGGUUUCCGCCCCUUAGUGCUGCAGCUAACGCAUUAAGCACUCCGCCUGGGGAGUACGACCGCAAGGUUGAAACUCAGAG